rnacentral:RNase_P_RNA from 1 species
AGUCGGUUAUACGGUCGCGGGCCGCGAAAGCGGCGUGAGGAAAGUCCGAGCAUCGCAGGGCAAUGAUGCCUGCUAACGGCAGGAGGAGGCGACUCCAAGGAAAGUGAACAGAAAUACACCGCAGCGCUUUGCUGUAAGGUUGGAAUGGCGAGGUAAGAGCUCACCGUCGCCCCGGUAACGGGGCGAGCCAAUUAAACCCCAUCUGAUGCAAGAUUGGAACGGGGGCUGCAUUGAAUUGCAGGGCUGCCCGUCCGCUCCCGUUCGUUAAUAUCGCUUUAACUUGCCGGUGACGGCAAGUAUAGAUAGAUGACCGUACACGACAGAACUCGGCUUACAGACCGGUC